rnacentral:rRNA from 1 species
ACUCCUACGGGAGGCAGCAGUAAGGAAUAUUGGUCAAUGGGGGCAACCCUGAACCAGCCAUGCCGCGUGCAGGAAGACGGCCCUCUGGGUUGUAAACUGCUUUUAUCCGGGAAUAAACCCCCUUACGUGUAAGGGGCUGAAUGUACCGGAAGAAUAAGGAUCGGCUAACUCCGUGCCAGCAGCCGCGGUAAUACGGAGGAUCCAAGCGUUAUCCGGAUUUAUUGGGUUUAAAGGGUGCGUAGGCGGCCUGUUAAGUCAGGGGUGAAAGACGGUGGCUCAACCAUCGCAGUGCCUUUGAUACUGACGGGCUUGAAUACACUUGAAGUAGGCGGAAUGUGACAAGUAGCGGUGAAAUGCAUAGAUAUGUCACAGAACACCGAUUGCGAAGGCAGCUUACUAAGGUGCAAUUGACGCUGAGGCACGAAAGCGUGGGGA